UACGUAGGGCGCAAGCGUUGUCCGGAUUUAUUGGGCGUAAAGAGCUCGUAGGCGGUUUGUCGCGUCUUCCGUGAAAACUGGGGGCUUAACUUCCAGCUUGCGGUGGAUACGGGCUGACUGGAGUGCGGCAGGGGAGACUGGAAUUCCUGGUGUAGCGGUGAAAUGCGCAGAUAUCAGGAAGAACACCCGUGGCUAAGGCGGCUCUCUAGUACGGUACUGACGCUGAGACGCGAAAGCGUGGGGAGCGAACGGG
rnacentral:rRNA from 1 species